rnacentral:rRNA from 1 species
CGGUUUUAUUACUGGGUAAGUUAGUGGCGGACGGGUGCGUAACGCGUAGGAGCUUACCCCUUGGAGGGGGAUAACAGUGGGAAACUACUGCUAAUACCCCAUAAUGCUGAGAAGCUAAAUGAAUUUCGCCAAGGGAGAGGCUUGCGUCUGAUUAGCUAGUUGGAGAGGGUAAAGGCCUCACAAGGCAACGAUCAGUAGCUGGUCUGAGAGGAUGAUCAGCCACACUGGGACUGAGACACGGCCCAGACUCCUACGGGAGGCAGCAGUGAGGAAUUUUCCCCAAUGGGCGAAAGCCUGAGGGAGCAAUGCCGCGUGGAGGAAGACGGAUCGUGGUCUGUAAACUCCUUUUCUUAGAGAAGAACACAAUGACGGUAUCUAAGGAAUAAGCACCGGCUAACUCUGUGCCAGCAGCCGCGGUAAUACAGGGGGUGCAAGCGUUAUUCGGAAUAAUUGGGCGUAAAGCGUUCGUAGGUUGUUCAUAUAAGUCUAAUGUUAAAUCCCAGAGCUCAACUUUGGACCUGCAUUAGAGACUGAUGAACUUGAGUUUGGUAAGAGUAAAGGGAAUUCCUUGUGAAGCGGUGAAAUGCACAGAUAUAAGGAGGAACACCAGCGGCGAAAGCGCUUUACUGGGCCAAAACUGACACUGAGGGACGACAGCUGAGGGAGAGAAUAGGAUUAGAUACCCUAGUAUUCUCAGCCGUAAACGAUGGAUACUAAGUGCUGUCAAAAACAGUGCUGUAGCUAACGCGUUAAGUAUCCCGCCUGGGGAGUAUGCUCGCAAGAGUGAAACUCAAAGGAAUU